GAUGAACGCUGGCGGCGUGCCUAAUACAUGCAAGUCGAGCGAACAGACGAGGAGCUUGCUCCUCUGACGUUAGCGGCGGACGGGUGAGUAACACGUGGAUAACCUACCUAUAAGACUGGGAUAACUUCGGGAAACCGGAGCUAAUACCGGAUAAUAUAUUGAACCGCAUGGUUCAAUAGUGAAAGACGGUUUUGCUGUCACUUAUAGAUGGAUCCGCGCCGCAUUAGCUAGUUGGUAAGGUAACGGCUUACCAAGGCAACGAUGCGUAGCCGACCUGAGAGGGUGAUCGGCCACACUGGAACUGAGACACGGUCCAGACUCCUACGGGAGGCAGCAGUAGGGAAUCUUGCGCAAUGGGCGAAAGCCUGACGGAGCAACGCCGCGUGGGUGAAGAAGGUCUUCGGGUCGUAAAACUCUUUUAUUAGGGAAGAACAAAUGUGUAAGUAACUAUGCACGUCUUGACGGUACCUAAUCAGAAAGCCACGGCUAACUACGUG
rnacentral:rRNA from 1 species